rnacentral:rRNA from 1 species
GACAGAGGCCUCAAGCGUUAGGCGGAAUCACUGGGCUUAAAGCGUGUGUAGGCGGAUCGUUAAGUGUCUUGUGAAAUCCCACGGCUCACCCGUGGAACUGCUGGGCAUACUGGCGAUCUUGGGCCAACUAGGGGCAACUGGAACAAGCGGUGGAGCGGUGAAAUGCGUAGAUAUCUGGAGGAAUACCGGUGGCGAAGGCGGCAUCCUGGACCGACAUUGACGCUGAGGAGCGAAAGCUAGGGGAGCAAACGGG